rnacentral:rRNA from 1 species
GAUGAACGCUGGCGGCGUGCCUAAUACAUGCAAGUCGAGCGAACAGACGAGGAGCUUGCUCCUCUGACGUUAGCGGCGGACGGGUGAGUAACACGUGGAUAACCUACCUAUAAGACUGGAUUACUUCGGGAAACCGGAGCUAAUACCGGAUAAUAUAUUUAACCGGAUGGUUCCAUAGUGAAAGACGGGUUUGCUGUCACUUAUAGGUGGAUCCGCGCCGCAUUAGCUAGUUGGUAAGGUAACGGCUUACCAAGGCAACGAUGCGUAGCCGACCUGAGAGGGUGAUCGGCCACACUGGAACUGAGACACGGUCCAGACUCCUACGGGAGGCAGCAGUAGGGAAUCUUCCGCAAUGGGCGAAAGCCUGACGGAGCAACGCCGCGUGAGUGAUGAAGGUCUUCGGAUCGUAAAACUCUGUUAUUAGGGAAGAACAAAUGUGUAAGUAACUAUGCACGUCUUGACGGUACCUAAUCAGAAAGCCACGGCUAACUACGUG